UUUGGAGCCAAAUAUAAAACAACAACAACACAUGACAUCACAUAAGCAAGGCAGAAAAAUGAUCACAGAAAUCUUCUUGGAGCAUACCAAUAAUCACUACUAAUACGAAGCUGAACGAUGACAGAAGCCGAGAUGAACGAGAAAGCGAAGACGAUCCAAUUUAUUUGAGGUGAGAUAAGAGCUCCAAGACACGAUCCAGACCAGGAACCAGGUGCCAACGCCACUCAAGAACAAGCUUCAACUAUAGGAAGCCACGAGAAAACGUAUCAAACACCUCGAGAAGCUGACGAAGACUACGGUAGACAAUCAACUACUCAGAGACCGAAUGUAAUUGAGAUAUAGCUCCACAGUCUCUUACCAAGAAACCCGGAGAACCCGUCAGUUAAAAACCAAGAGACAGCGUAACUUCUCCCCACCAAAGCUUCGCACAGAGCUAAUUCAACACUGACAACAAAGGUCGAGCAACUAGACCUUAAUUACCGAAAGAGCACGAUAAGCGACUUGUCACCAAAGAGGACAAAAGAAAAGGCUAAAGACCAAGGUCAGGAGACCCGACCAGAGAAUCCUAAACAGCCACCAAUAAACCACCACAGCUUCAAGACCACACACGCUCCAAAAGAUCAAGGAUGUCUGAGUCACAUUUCAAUCAUACAACAAGCCUAUGCAAGGAUAAAGAUAAGAAAACAAAAGCACACAAUCACCGGAGACUUUCCUAAAACCGCCUCACCAACCUCGAUGGAAGAAGUAACAACCCACAUCAGAGCCGGUAUAAACUUGCCACCGCGCACCAGAAAACAUAUAUCGAGAUUAGAAAGGCAUCCCAAGCAAACCGAGACGGUGAUGAAGCAACCAGCCUUCGUAUCCAAGAGAACCCAAGCUGACAAAUUCACAGAUCCAACAAAACAUCCGCAAGACAAGGGAGAAGUGGCGAUAAGAACCGGAUUGUGCCCCUUGCUCCCAUAAGAACGACAGAGUUACCAACACACGGUCUCACACACAGACUCCACUAGGGUUUGGGCCUCACCUAAAGGAGAAAAUUGGGGAACCAAACCCUAAGCCAACUAAAUCCGACCUCCCCCACAGACCCUCCGAAGCUCCUAAUGACUCGUCUUCACUCCAGAUUGAAAGAGAGAAGCGUCAAAUUCGAGAUCUGCAAACCAGAUUGAUAAGCUUGCAGUUCCAUUGGCCUUUGCUCAGAAGAGAACAAGAUCGAAGCGUGAGAAGAUAAGUGGCUAAAUGAAGAAGAUGAAGAAGGAGGAAGAGACUCUAAGUGAGAGAGAGCCUCUUGGUUAUUAGUUCAUAAAGUGAUGUCGUUUCAUUAAAGUAAUACUCUGUCGUUUUACUACUUGUUGGCUACUUAAGGGAAUUCAUUCCCGAGUAUGGUUAUCAAAUAAUUAAUCAAACAACUCUUAUCCUCUUAUCCCCUUCUCUCUAUUCUCUCCCCCUUUUCUGUCAUUUCAGAUAAACCCUAAUCAGGGCUUAUCAUUGGUAUCAGAGCUCCAAUCUGUGAUGAAUGAGAUGCUUAGGUUGAGACAGUCGGGAUCGAUCUCAGAGUACCGAGAGCAAUUUGAAGAGUUGUCUGCUGAAGUGCCCCAUGUUCCUAACGACGUGCUGGGGGAGAUAUUUUUGCACGUGAUGAAGAGAAGUUUGCGAGAGCAGGUGGUGAGGUUGAGACCCGCAGGGAUGGACGAGAUAGUAGACAUGGCCACGAUCAUUGAGGAGCAGGAGAACGAGAGACACUCAUAUCAUUCGAGGCCUUUUCAGAGGACUAGCUCAGCGCUGGCUCUUAACUCGAAUCAAAGAAGUAAUAACUUCAGCCCGGUCAAGCAUGGAGACCACACUCCAGCAAGAAAGUCUGUGGACGCUGCUCGUGAUAAUAGGAAUUCCUCGCAACGCAGACCAAUACAGAACCCUUGCAGGCAUUGUGAGGAGCGCUACUUCGCGGGUCACCGUUGCAAGGCGUUUCAGAGGUUCAAAUGCCUAGAGGUAGAAGAGGAGUCUAUAGAAACAGAGAACUCUGGGGAGGACAGAGAGGAAGAGUCUGAGCCACAGGCAAAACAAGAGCUUCAGGUUCUCUCGCUUCAGUCAAUGACGGGCCUUACUUCUAAGAGGACCAUGAGAAUUAAAGGGCAUGUUGGAGGAGAAGAAGUGGUGGUUCUGAUUGAUUCAGGAGCAUCCUGUAGUUUCAUCGCUACUCGACUAGUGGAGAAGUUGGGUUUAGCCGUCGUUCCUACUCAGGAGUUUGGUGUGGCAAUCGGAGAUGGUAGGAUCAUGAAGAGCAGUGGCAAGUGCGAAGAUCUGAAGCUGGUCAUCCAGGGUAUUGAGAUACAAGGAGACUUCAUGCUGUUUGAUUUGGGAGCUACUGAUAUGGUACUAGGGUAUACAUGGCUGGCGUCGUUGGGAGAGACAAGAAUCAAUUGGGGGUUGCAUAUCAUGCAUUUCCAGAUUGAUAAGGAGUGAGUGACUAUCACGGGUGAUCCAGCUUUACUGCGGGCUCAGGUGUCAUUGAGUACGAUGGAGAAGUUGUGUGAGAGUGAAGAUGCCGUGUAUCUCCUGGAGUUGCAGACCUUGUUUGACAAUUCAAAGGAACAACAACACGAAGUGAGGCUGAGCUCAGAGGUAAAGGGGUUACUCCAAGAGUUUAAGGAGGUGUUUAACAUGCCAUCUGGUCUUCCACCAAGACGAUCUCGAGAGCAUGCUAUCACACUUCAGACCGGAACCUCUCCGAUCAACAUUAGACCAUACCGCUACUCACACCUACAGAAGAAUGAGAUAGAGAAGCUGGUGCAGGAGAUGUUACAGGCAGGGAUCAUUAAGCCGAGCAUCAGCCCGUUCGAGAGAUAUGUUGUGUUUAGUUCACAAGAAUGGAAAAAGAAGAAGGGUAAAUCGAUUUUGGGAGCAUUAAGAGCUUCAAAUUGGUUGUUCAUGGUGGUUGUGGUAUUGAUGACAAUGGCAAUCUUGUAAUUACUUGAAGAUGAUGAGGGUGAGAGAGUAAAAAUGUCAUUUUCGAAAAAAAAAGAAAAAAAAAAUUGAUGGCAUUUUCGUAAAUUAUAUGAACUUGUGGGGUGAAUAGGGCAAAACCAAUUUAAAAAAAAAAAAGAUGUUAGUUUUGUGUUUGACUUUAAGUUAUAGGUCAAUUCUGCAAAAAGUCCAAAAUUGUUAUCAAAUCUUUAUAAUUCGUAGUCAUUAAUUGUAAUAUAUAUGUUAAUCAUAUUAGGUAAUUCCGUAGUUUUUAUUUAAGGAAAUAAUACACAUUUCUUAUACUUUGGGUUAUAUAAUGUUGUUAGAAUAUUUUAAACUAUAUUUUAUAUUAGAUGCUCUAGAAUUCUUUGAAAUAGAAUUUAGAAAACAUUUAGAAGUGCUACCUAGCUAGGAUUGAAGUUUUUUUUAAUUAAUACAAAAUUAAGGUUCUAAUUUUUUAAAUGCUUCUCAAUUAAUAUAUAGGAGAUUCAACCAUUUAAUAGUAAGUUCCAUCAGUACUAAUUACAAGUUAUAACCUGCACUUUCAUUUUAUUUUAUUUUUUUUCCUUUUAUUAAAGGAUAUAUUAUCUCUUUUUGUCAGCGAAAGAUAGUAUUAUCUCACUAAAAGAAACGCUAAAAUUAUAUUAGUGUCAAAUGGCACCGCUCAAUAAAAGAAAGAACGUCGAUUUAAAGACAUUGUUUUUGUUGUUGUCAUCUGUUAAGUUAAUAAGUUAAUAAGCUUUUAAACGUUUGAUACAAGACAAUUCCAGAGCCCUAAGGCGACAAGGUAAACAUAAUUUUUUUGGAGCCAAAUAUAAAACAACAACAACACAUGACAUCACAUAAGCAAGGCAGAAAAAUGAUCACAGAAAUCUUCUUGGAGCAUACCAAUAAUCACUACUAAUACGAAGCUGAACGAUGACAGAAGCCGAGAUGAACGAGAAAGCGAAGACGAUCCAAUUUAUUUGAGGUGAGAUAAGAGCUCCAAGACACGAUCCAGACCAGGAACCAGGUGCCAACGCCACUCAAGAACAAGCUUCAACUAUAGGAAGCCACGAGAAAACGUAUCAAACACCUCGAGAAGCUGACGAAGACUACGGUAGACAAUCAACUACUCAGAGACCGAAUGUAAUUGAGAUAUAGCUCCACAGUCUCUUACCAAGAAACCCGGAGAACCCGUCAGUUAAAAACCAAGAGACAGCGUAACUUCUCCCCACCAAAGCUUCGCACAGAGCUAAUUCAACACUGACAACAAAGGUCGAGCAACUAGACCUUAAUUACCGAAAGAGCACGAUAAGCGACUUGUCACCAAAGAGGACAAAAGAAAAGGCUAAAGACCAAGGUCAGGAGACCCGACCAGAGAAUCCUAAACAGCCACCAAUAAACCACCACAGCUUCAAGACCACACACGCUCCAAAAGAUCAAGGAUGUCUGAGUCACAUUUCAAUCAUACAACAAGCCUAUGCAAGGAUAAAGAUAAGAAAACAAAAGCACACAAUCACCGGAGACUUUCCUAAAACCGCCUCACCAACCUCGAUGGAAGAAGUAACAACCCACAUCAGAGCCGGUAUAAACUUGCCACCGCGCACCAGAAAACAUAUAUCGAGAUUAGAAAGGCAUCCCAAGCAAACCGAGACGGUGAUGAAGCAACCAGCCUUCGUAUCCAAGAGAACCCAAGCUGACAAAUUCACAGAUCCAACAAAACAUCCGCAAGACAAGGGAGAAGUGGCGAUAAGAACCGGAUUGUGCCCCUUGCUCCCAUAAGAACGACAGAGUUACCAACACACGGUCUCACACACAGACUCCACUAGGGUUUGGGCCUCACCUAAAGGAGAAAAUUGGGGAACCAAACCCUAAGCCAACUAAAUCCGACCUCCCCCACAGACCCUCCGAAGCUCCUAAUGACUCGUCUUCACUCCAGAUUGAAAGAGAGAAGCGUCAAAUUCGAGAUCUGCAAACCAGAU
rnacentral:lncRNA from 1 species